rnacentral:lncRNA from 1 species
CAACCAAUCAGGAUUCCAUUCUAGCACCCUGUCGGAGGGGGAGAUAAUCUCCACUCGCCAUCUUCAUCCUCCCGGCGGAGACCAUAAUGAGGGAGUUGUCCACCCUCGGGGCUGAGGGUUUGUACCUGUAGCUAUGUGUUUAAUCUCUCUCUCUCUCUUGUGUUCAUGAGAUGUCAUGAUGAUGACAUAUCACAGGCCUUAUUAAUAUAGUUGGAUCAUAUGUUGUUUGUCCCAUGCUAUUGUUGUGAUGAAUUGAAUCUUUCACUUGAAGAUCUUGAUAUGUUGGAUUGAAUAUUCAGGUUUGAGAGCACAUGAUAUAUGUCUUGCAUGUGGAGACCCGUAGUGAAAUUGGGGUAUUCAAAUGAUUCACUUGAUAUAUGUUUUGGCACUCAACUCGAGGAUUCCAGGGGUGAAAUUGGGGUAAUCUAUGCAUAGGGGUUGAUGUACCUUUUCAUACUAUGUUUUCCGAUAGAAAUCUUGGGGUGCUCCUUGAAGUUCUUUGUGUUGGAUUAAAUAUGAAGAAUCUAAAAUUGUUUGAUGCAUGUUGUAUAAUUAGCCCAUGGAUACUUGGUGACAUUGGAGUAUCUAGGUUGAUUGAUAUGUAUCAAUGGUGCUAUUUUAGUACAAACUCUUGAAUAGUUUGAUCGGAAAGGAUAACUUGUUAUUCUAGUACGAACUCUUGGAAAGAUUGAUCGAAAAUAAUAACUUUGAGGUGGUUUCGUACCCUAAUUUUUUUUCUUCUUAUGUUCUCUGUCGGCCAUGCUAGGUCGACACCUAUGGGAAUAAACGUGAAACCCUUGUGAUCGUAGGGCGGGGAAAGACAAUGUCAAGAGCAGAGCUAACGGUCGGCACCCGGCAAGGCUUUUUACACAGGUUCGGCUCGUUUACGCAUAAAACCCUACGUCCUGCUCGUCUUGUUGUAUUAAGCGUUUUGUUGUUUGUUACAGUGACUGAUAAUAACCGUCUUCUGGCCAAUCUCCAAAAAGUCUAACCCAUUGUGAAUGAGAUAAGGGCCUCCUUUUAUAGGCAAAGGGGUCACCUACAGUGCUCGGUGGUAGGUUCACGAGAUGUUACAGUGAACCUAGAGCGAUGCUUAUCCAUCUACCGCUGUCAGGUGCAUUAAAUGCACGUCUUGUCCUUGCCAGCAAUGUGCUGGUGAAGACAUGUGUCCAGGCGUUUCGACACCUGGACACCGCGCUGGCGCAAGCAGAAUGCGCUGGAACUUGGGGGCGGUGGCACAGGGCAGAAGCCCUCCAGUGCCUAACCUCAUCAUCCCGACAAGGGAGCUUGCUGGGGCCUUGGGUCUUUGUCCCGACAAGGAAGCUUGUCGGGGGCUUCGAUUGUCAUCCCGACAAGGGAGGCUUGCCGAGGUCUUGUACUUGGUGAGCUCAUCACGUCUACUAAACGGGCAUGGCCUUGGUUAUCUUCCCGGCAAGGCAGGUGUGACAGCCCGGGACCGACGCUCCAGAAGAUUACCCUCUUUUCCAUUGUCGCCAUGUUAUUUUUUUCCGCAUUCGUCAUCACAUCAUUCGCAUCAUCCGCAUUACAUCGGCACUCCGUUGCCGCCAGUUUUCAAAACUGCAUCCGUUAUUAGUUGUCGGUUCUCUCCGUUUUAUCGUUGACCGUUUGAGACCAACCACACAGCACGCGCCCGCGACAUCGUUAAACUCUGUCACCGGGUUGUCGUUUUCCCUCUCGUCCCCACCUAGCCCCUCUUCACAGUGCACCGACCCUAUGCGCAGCCUAGUCUGAAAACCUCGCGAAACCAGAGCCGGGUGCUGGUGACCGUUGGGUCGAGAUCAACCCGGUUUUACUGCAAAUCGUCAUCGGUUUGUCCAUUGGUCAUCCUAACCUAAUUAUAUUGGCCGUCUGAUCUAAAUCGGAGGGCUCUAAUUAGACCCCAUUUAGUUUUGUUUGCUAUUUAUAUGUGAUUUAUCCCAACCUACCCUAACCCUAGGCUAUUCAGUCCCAUCCGUCGCCGCCGCAUACCACCUGGUCUCCUCCUUCCUCGGUUUCCAGAUCCAGCCAACCAGCGAGCUCCCUUGUGCCCGAUGGCAAUCUCUAGCAAUGGCUAGACGACUCCUAUUCUCGAUUUCUCAACAAUUAGAAAUUUUCUUGCAAUUACCCACCAGCGCGUGGGAUCGAGGCAGUUUUCGAGGGUAGAGUAUUCAACCCAAAUUUGUUGGUUCGCCAAUAGGAAGUGAGAGGACACUCUCAAGUAUUAGCAGCUAGAUGUGUCAGAUUUAACCACACCUGAAAGAUUAAUAUCUGCAAGCAAAGUAUCAACAGCAAAGUAGUAUGAUAACAACGGUGUCAGAAACGAUCUGUUGACGGCAGACUAUUCCUAACUGUCGUAUCAAUGGUGCUAGUAGUUGCUCGUUGACGGAAAUUGUCUUUUCCCGUCAACGCCGAGCGAAUCAGAAUUGUAGCAGGUAGCACAGUGUAACGAGUAGUAGCAGUGGCAAUGAACAACAGUAGUGACAGCAGUAGCAAGUAGCAAUAGUGGCAAGUAAUAGUAGAGCAAGUAACAGCAGCAGCAACACUAGUAACAGUAGCAGAGCAAAACAAGUAACAACAGCAAUGGGACAAACUCGUAGGCAAUGGGUCGGUGAUUUGUUUGGAUGAUAUUCAUCAUGCAACAGUUAUAACAUGGAGAGAUAUGUGGCUAGCUCCCGUUCGUUAAUGUGAUGUAGGCAUGCAUUCCAUGUGUCGUCAUACGUGCUUAGGGAAAAGAACUUGCAUGACAUCUAUUGUCCAUCCCUCUCGUGGCAGCGGGGUCCAAAAGGAAACUACGGGAUAUUAAGGUUCUCCUUUUAAUAAAGAACCGGACCAACGCAUUAGCACUUGGUGAACACAUGAACUCCUCAAACUAUGGUCAUCACCGGGAGUGGUUCCGGUUAUUGUCACUCCGGGGUUGCCGGGUCAUAACACAUAGUAGGUAACUACAACUUGCAAGAUCGGAUCUAAAACACACAUAUAUUGGUGACAACAUAAUAAUUUCAGAUCUGAAAUCAUGGCACUCGGGCCCUAGUGACAAGCAUUAAGCAUGGCAAAGUAGUAGCAACAUCAAUCUCAGAACAUAGUGGAUACUAGGGAUCAAUCCCCGUCAAAACUAACUCGAUUACAUGAUAGAUCUCAUCCUACUCAUCACCGCCCAGCGAGCCUACGAAUAGAUUACUCACGAACGAUGAAGAGCUUCAUGGAAUUGGAGAGGGAAGAAGGUUGAUGAUGACAAUGGCGACGAUUUCCCCUCUGUGGAGCCCAAAACAGACUCCAGAUCUGCCCUCCAGAUGAAGAACAGGAUGUGGCGGCGCCUCCGUAUCGCAAACGCGACGAAAUCUUCUCUUUUUUAUUUUUUCUGGGACGAAAGUGAAUUUAUAGAGCUGAGUUUGGGGGCGGCAGAGCCACGUGGGCCCCACAAGCUUGCUAGCCGCCACCAGGGGGUGGCGGCCACAGGGCUUGUGGCCCACUGGCCCAUCCCCUGCGGUGGAUCUUUGUGCAGGUAUUUUUCAUAUUUUCCAGAAAUAUUCUCCGUAAAUUUUCAGGACGUUUUGAGAACUUUCAUUUCUGCACAAAAACAACACCAAGGCAAUUCUGCUAAAAACAACGUCAGUCCAGGUUAGUUCCAUUCAAAUCAUGCAAAUUAGAGUCCAAAACAAGGGCAAAAGAGUUUGGAAAAGUAGAUACGAUGGAGACGUAUCAGUGCCCGAGCCAACCCAAUUCACCAACAUCCACCCAUGGAGACCGUGCUGCCUCCGCCGGAGCACCACCAUAGGUGAGCUCCCGUCAACCUCUUCCUCCCUCUCCUGUGUAUCUCUUCUUCCUCUCCUUCUCUCAUGGUUCUCUCGCUCUGUGCAGUAGUAACGCAAGCCACCUUCGGUCGCACGCAGCAGCCGUCGGAGCCCCUCCCAGCCGGAUCCACAACCUCGUGCCGCCGUGACCUCGCCCGUCGCCCGACCCGGACCGUCGCAGCCACCAGGGCGUGCCCCACGCGCAUCCUGCUCAUCACGCACCAAGGAGCUCGCGUUCCUAUUCGCGCCUCCUCCGUGAUAGGCUGCCGCCGUCUCCGCGCCACAGUACGCAGGAGCCUUGCCGCACCGGCCGCCGCUGGCGACCACCUGCUGGACGUGCGCCUUCCCGCGAGUCUCCGCGUGCAGCCGCUGCCUAGGCUGCCUUCCUUGAGCGCUGUCGCGAGCACAGCCAAGCUGACCCGGUAUAGCUUCAGAUUCAGAUGUGUUGUGUUUUCAGUUUUAUUCAGUUAGCGUCAGGGUAUCUUCAUCUUUUGCAAAACCCGUUUUAAAUCAUAGUUCCUUCGUAGACCAGUUGGUUAUUGCGCUCGCUCGCUCGUUACCAUGAGAUCCUAGGUUUGAGUCCGAGGCACUCCUAUUUUUUUGUGUGUGGUAUUUUCAUGUUGCACACGUUACACCUAGCCCGCACCUGUACCUUAGCCACGAUCACAGGUCUAGCCUAGUGGCGAGCGCCACACAUUUCUACUCAGUAGACCAAGGUUCGAAUCCCCGGCUACACACAUAUUUUUUUUACUACAGCGAGCCCAACAUAUUAGUGUGUUUCUGCACUUUUGUUGCAGCAUACGUAUCUGCAUAUUUAGAGUAAUGCCACUAUUUUAAAACGUCCAUAACGUUUCAGCCAUGCAUCGGACCGGAGUGAUUUAAAUAUGUAACUUGACUAAAAUUUCGCGUAGAUUAACAAUUUCCAACUUUCAUGCAUGUUUAAGGCUGUUAGCGUGCUGUUUGUGUCGGUUUGCAUGCCAACAUGUUAAAAACAGUUUAGGUCGUAGUUAAUUAACCGUCGCUCCGUUGGAGAUGAUCUAUAUAUGUAAAUCGAGUAGAACAACGUGUAGAAUCUCAUGCUCCACUUUUUUCGUUGUUUAACAAAUAUAAAAUGUGAUUAGGAAAAAUCUGGACAGAAUUAGAAAUUAACGCGUGUGGUCAUUUCGGAGAUGAUAUAAGUUGUUUCCGGCCUCAUUUAAAAUUCCUAGAUAUGUAGAUUAAUUUGUGCUUCACCCCUUGCCAUGUUAACAUCAUUUUAAUAUUGUCGUGUUCCUAAACAGGAGUGAACUAAACAAUUAAACGUGGAGUUUCGUCGAUAUGCAACUCGUUGCAUAUCGAGCUACACUUAAUGUGUAGUGUUUGCGUGAGGUGAAUUGCCAUGUCAUGCCUUGCAUUAUUGAACUGAUCAUGCAUCAUAUUAGGUUGUGCAUCAUGUCAUUCAUUUGUUGUGGUGAAUAACUGUGUUGAUGCUUGUUUUCCGUUUGCUCCGUCUCGAUAGAGUUCCGCAAGCGUGUCAGAAUAUGAGGACCCGUUCGACUAUGUCGGUUCGCCUGCUUCAUGGAAGCAUUCUUCUUCCAAGAGGGAUCUCGGGCAAGAUGACCAUUUCCCCAGAUAUCAUUACUAUCAAUGCCAUGCUAGUUGUAUCGCUUCUAUGACUAUGUCUCGUUGCCUACCACCUGUUAAACGUCAGGCUCUCAACAUUGCCAUGAAACCUUCAACCUAUUCACAACCUAGCAAACCACUGAUUGGCUAUGUUACCACAUGCUUAAGCAUGUGUUAGCAUUGCUAUUGCAGGUGCAGAUGCUUCCUUGUGAUAACAUGGGUUCGUUGUCAUAUCAGUCUAUUAAUUGCUAAUUAAAUUAGUGCACCUAUAUACUUGGUAAAAGGUGGAAGGCCCGGCCUUUCUAGCUUGGUGUUUUGUUCCACCUUUGCCCCCUUAGUUUUGGCUACAGGUGUUAUGUUCCAUAACUGAGGGCUCCUAACAAGAUCGGGGUUGUUAUGGGGACCCCCAACUUUGGUACUACAUUUGCCUAAUAACUAACGAACCGCAUAGGGAGUAAUUAACCCGAGGAAACUUAAUCAACCCCCGGGCCAGUGCUCCUUAUGAGUGUUGGUCCAACCCAGAGCAUUGUGCGGGGCCAACCUAGGGCAACUUGGGUGAUUUCUAUCAGGCCACCGUACACGUAGCUUAUCCGUCGUGUCGUGAGAACAAGAUACGCGGCUCCUAUCGGGAUCGUCGACACGUCGGGUGGCCUUCCUAGAUUAGUUUUACCUUUGACAAAAUAUCUUGUGCAUCAGGAUUCCGGUGAGACUUUGGGUAAUCUCAGAGUUGGGGUUUCCCACUAAGGAAUCCGAGGAGAUCACGAGUUUCAUGAUUGAGGUUUUCUAUGCGUCUUGUGGUAAUUUGUAAUGGACUAGUUGGAGCACCCCUGCAGGGUUAAGUCUUUCAGAAAACCGUGCCCGCGGUUAUGUGGCAACGUGGAAAACCUCCUCCAGGGCAAGAACGGGAUGUGGCGGUGCUUCUGGAUCGAAAACGCGAUGAAAUCUUCUCUCUUGAUUUUUUUCCGGGACAAAAGGGAAUAAAUAGCGCUGGAAUUGGGGGCGGCAGAGCCACGUGGGCCCCACAAGCCUGGUGGCCGCAGCCAGGGGGGAGGCCGCGGCCACAAGGCUUCUGGCCCAUUCGCUCGUCCCCUCUGGUGGAUCUUUGCGUAGGUAUUUUUCAUAUUUUCCACAAAUAUUCUCCGUAAAUUUUCAGGACGUUCCGAGAACUUUCAUUUCUGCACAAAAACAACACCAUGACAAUUCUGCUGAAAACAGCGUCAGUCCGGGUUAGUUCCAUUCAAAUCAUGCAAAUUAGAGUCCAAAACAAGGGCAAAAGAGUUUGGAAAAGUAGAUACGAUGGAGACGUAUCAUAGUUCCUAUUUGCAAUAAUAAGAACAUCAUUGAUCCUUCCCAUGGGUUUCUUGAUAGUAGAAUCCGCAAGAUUCAAAUUAAGGGAACACUCUUCAAUCUCAUUAAAACCCAGAACAUCACAUAAAGACUUUGGAAUCGCGGAAACACUAGCACCCAAAUCACACAAAGCAUUGCAUUCAUAGUUUUUGAUUUUGAUUUUCAUAGUAGGUUCCCACUCAUCAUGAAGCUUUCUAGGGAUAGAGACUUCCAAUUCAAGUUUAUCUUCAAGAGAUUUUAUCAUAGCUUCAACGAUAUCAUCGGUAAAGGCCUUGUUUUGGCUAUAAGCGUGUGGAGAGUUUAACAUGGAUUGCAUCAAGGAAAUGCAUUCAAUCAAGGAGAAACUAUCAUAAUUGAAUUCCUUGAAGUCCAAGGUAGUAAUUUCAUUACUACUCAAAGUUUUAAUAUCUUCUACUCCACUUUCAAUGCUUCUAGCAUCAAGAUAGAUGGACUCCAAAUCAUUGGGGCACUUUUCAACCAAAGUGGAUUCAUAUCCAGCCCCAUCAUCAUUAGGUUUGACACAAGAAAACAAAGAUUCAAUGGGAGUCACACCAAGCACUUUAAGAUCUUCGUGAUUCUCGUCACGAGUUUCAGGUUUAGCAGCCAUUUUAUUGACUAAAGUAGCCUGCUUAUCAUAAAUCUGGCCUACCAACUUUUCAAGACGAGCAAAUUGAGAAUUUAGCACAAGGAAUUAUUUGGCCAUAUCAUCAACCUCUCUACUCAUAAAAGGCAGAAAAGAAUUUUGCUCCUUCAAUUCUCUACGAAAGUAACUGUUGUAUUCAAACUAUGUAGACAUGAAGCCUUUAACACUAGUUUCAAUAUCUUCUAACUUCGCAUAGUGAGCAUCAAAAUCCCUUGGUUGGGCCAUUCGGGUUUUAGCAAGCAGACAAACGGGCAAAGAGCAAGCGGGAAAAAGGGCGAACGAAAAGGCAAACGGAAAAAAGGCAAACGAAAAAGGCAAAUUGGUGAAGUGGGGGAGAGGAAAACGAGAGGCAACUCACAAACAAAGUAAAUGCAAGAGAUGAGUUUGCGACACUUACUUGGAUGAGUUCUUGACUUGAUCCUCCCCGGCAACGGCGCCAGAAAUUCUUCUGCUACGGCAACAAAAGUCCUUCCCCGGCAACGCCAGGAAUUCUUCUUGCUACUUCUCUUGCUUGCGUCGGUUUUCCCUUGAAGAGGAAAGGGUGAUCCAGCACAGGAGCAGUAAGUAUUUCCAUCAGUUUGAGAACCAAGGUAUCAAUCCAGUAGGAGAAUCUUGUCAAGUCCAGAGUACCCGCACAAACACAAAGAGCUUGCACCCAACGCUAUAAAGGGGUUGUCAAUCCCUUCAAGAUUGAUUGCAAAGUGAGAUCUGAAGGCGGAAAGUGCAACAAAGGAAAAGUGUAAGGCUGAAAAUAUGGUGUGGAGUAGACCCCGGGGCCAUAGUGUUCCCUAGAGGCUUCUCUCAAAAUAGCAAAUAUUACGGUGGGUGAACAAAUUACUGUGGAGCAAUUGAUAGAACCGNUCCAUGAAGAUCAUGGAGAACUUUGUAUUGAAGAUCCAAGAGAGAGAAGAAGCCAUCUAGCUACUAGCUAUGGACCCGUAGGUCUAUGGUGAAGUACUCACGCAUCAUCGGAGAGGUCAUGGUGUUGAUUAAGAAGCCCUCCGUAUCGGAAUCCCCCCUUCGGCAGGGCACCAGAACGUGCCCCAGAUGGGAUCUUGUGGAGACAGAAGCUUGCGGCGGUGGAAAAGUACUUUCGAUGAUCUCCUAAUUUUUUUUGGAAUUAUUGGGAAUAUAUAGGCAAAAGACCUAGGGCAGAGGUGGCCCAGGGAGCCCACAAGCCUGGGAGGCGCGGGCCCCCCUGGCCGCGGCUAGGGGGCUUGUGGGGUACCUGGUGGCCCCCUGCCUUGGUUCUCAAGUUUCCCGAUCUUCUUCUGUUUCGGAAAAAAUCUUUUUGGAAGUUUCGUUCCGUUUGGACUCCGUUUAAAAUCCUCCUCUGAAAGGGGUCAAAAACACGGAAAAAACAGGAACUGGCACUUGGCACUGAGUUAAUAAGUUAGUCCCAAAAAGAUAUAAAAGGCAUACAAAACAUCUAAAGUUUGACAGGAUAAUAGCAUGAAACCAUCAAAAAUUAUAGAUACGUUGGAGACGUAUCACCGCGGCUUAUCUUCAAACAACACCACACGUCCCCCCUCCUCCACAGUCCCCAAUCUACAGCCCCCCCAUCCUGCUCGAACUCUAGAUCACCGCCGGCGCCACUGCCGACGCCUCCAACCCCUAUCGGUCUGCCCGUGCCUCUGAGCUUAGAUAAUAAAGUUUAGGUUACCCAACGACUCCCAUAUCGUCGCCCCCUGAGUCUUUAGAUGAGACCUGCGAUGUCCCUCCCAGCCAGAUCCACAUACCCUACUCUAGACAGUCACAGCCUAAGCCCGACCACGUAUCCCGGGGAGCCCGACGAGUGUUCGGCCAAAAAUAGGCUUAUCAUGGCCUCUUCAGUGGACGUUGGCCAGCUGACCGUCAUUCGUCUUGACUUGUCGAUCCCGGAGCAGCACCUCAUCACGGAAGCCGGUGAGUAUGUUGACUACGUUGCCAUGCCGAAGGCUUCACGUCAGCAAUCUAGCUUAUUAUCGCAUCUCUGGAAAGCUGGCUACGAUAUCGAGCUCAUCGAUAGCGACGUCUUCACACGGGCCAUGUCACAGGUUAAGUAGUCCAUCCCAAACCCCUCUGCUUCUGCCGCCGUUAAUCUCUUCGAAGGCCCUGUCACUGAUCUCCUCCACCACGUCGUCAAGGAUUUGUGAUCCUUGCGUGCCAUUGAGCCCAUUUUGUCAUUUCUGAAGGACACGUUGUGCAUCGACGGCUUGGGAUCCUCAAUUUCUAAGUCAGAUCUCAUCGACCACAGCCAUGAGGAGGGCACCCACAAAGGGUCUUCCAAGGUGAAACGACGCAUCUACGACAUCAGAGAGCGCACCAUGGGUGUGUGCUCUUCCAACUGGAAGGAUCCUGUCCAUGAUAAGUGAGGCAAUAUCCUAUCAGCAAAUGUUACUUUUUCUAACUAGUCAAACCGUACCCUUUGUUGUAGUACAUUUUGCCAUGCGGUGUUUUAACUGUGGCGUGUUUAAUUAUUUCAGUUAUGCAAAAAUGUAAUGUUUAAUAGGGCUAUGUGAUGUUUAAGUAUGAAUUGUACACUUCAGUUUCACAAAUGGCUAUAUUUGGUUGUUUAUAGUGAGUUCAUGCCUUGUUUAUCUGUAUUUGGUUGUUAGGUUGCUUGCUGUGAGCAUUUGUCCAGUUUUCAAGCAGAUGCCUUUUUUAUCUGUAUUUUCUUGUUAGGCUGGUUGCAGUGAGCAUUUGUCUAGUUUUCAAGCAUAUGCCAUGUCUAUUUGUAUUUGCUUGUUAGGUUGGUUGAAGUGAGCCUCUGUCCAGUUUUCAAGGGCUAUAUUUGGUUGUUAUACUGAUCAUGUAUGCCUUGUUUAUUUCAGUUAUUCACAAUGUGAUGUUCAUUAUGUGCAAGUCGGAACUAUGCAGUUUGAUUUCAUCAAUACGAGUCAAACGAGUAUAUUUAGUUCUUACUAUAUUUAUAGUGACCGUUUGUCUAGUUUUCAAGCAUAUACUACACAUGUUGUUUAGUUCAAUUUUACACAUUUAUCUAGUGUGAUGUUUAAGCAUGAGCUAUGUUCUAUUCAUUUUCAACAAUACCAGUUUGAAUUGCAAUAUUUGGUGGUUGUUAGGCCUCUUGUAGUUAACAUUCCCUUCCAUUUCAUAUCCACUUUACCAUUUGGCGAUGAUGUUGUUUACCUUAGAUAUAUUUGUUUGAUGUUAAGGUUGAUGUACUUAUCAUACCUUUCCACUACUUAUGCAGGACAACAACGGGAGUGGCUAGCAUUUUCCACCGAGGUUACUUUCAUCCCUCGGCUUGUACUCCCUCGUCGUUGCAUAAUGUAGUGCAUAUAGAUCCAGGCCUCGACACUUUUUAGCUUCUAAUAUUGACUUGUUGCUUGUAGGUACAUAUGUCAUUAGCAAAGAUCCAUGCAUCGAACCUUUUUGCGUUUGAGGCAAUGAUUUAUUCAUGAACCAGCAUCAAGCGAGGAAAUUGAUAAGGAUUAUUAGCAAAAAGAUACGAACGGUGGCAAUCAUAUUAUUUCUUAUGGUCUAUCCAACACAAAAGUGAGCUGUAGGAUGGUAACUACGUACUCUCAAGCCUUAUCUUUUUUACUGCCCAUAAUGUGUUAUUACACAACAAUAUCUGAAUCUUUUUCAUUUGUAGUGAUUCCCAAAGUAGUUUACUCAAGAUUACAUCGCAAAGUACAUGAUUGGUCGACAUGCAAUGAAGGUUAAAGUAUUUCAUCGAGACUACAAUGAGAAUCAAGAAGUCCUAGUGAAGACAGUGAAGGAUGGGCGGCAACCAUCACAAGGGGUUGGCCUAGAGUCGUGCACACAUUACGCAUAGAGGAGGGCACAUCAUGGGCAUUCUGCUUCACCUUCUCCACCAACCAGAAUGUCCUUCGCCUCUCUCUUUAUAGUCUUUAGUACAACUGUGGUUCAUCAUUCUUUAGCUGGUGUUUUAACAUGGUUCGGUAUGAAUUAUGCAUUCGUGCUUGAACCUAUAUUUGUAAUAAACAUGGUUCAAUAUGAAAUAAGUGAUUACCU